UACGGGGGAGCAAGCGUUGUUCGGAAUUACUGGGCGUAAAGGGCGCGUAGGCGGGAUGGCAAGUCGGUCGUGAAAUCCUUCGGCUCAACCGAAGAACGUCGAUCGAUACUGCUGUUCUUGAGGGUUGCAGAGGAGACUGGAAUUUACGGUGUAGCGGUGAAAUGCGUAGAUAUCGUAAGGAAGACCAGUGGCGAAGGCGGGUCUCUGGACAGUUCCUGACGCUGGAGGCACGAAGGCCAGGGGAGCAAACGGG
rnacentral:rRNA from 1 species